GUCCCCUUACUCUUAUAAAAAAUGUUAUUGAAUGAAUGGAUUAAUUAAUCAUAUUGACAACCCCAGUUUAGGGUACAAUUAUUUUACCCAGUUGAAUUAAAUUGGAUACAUGUUUUCCAAAUAAAAAAUAUCUAGGAAAGUUCUUGCUCUGCAGGAACAAGCGAACUUUAGUGGCACGUAUCAACGCAAUAAAUUUCACCCAGCCAGUUCACUUAUAGGUGGACGGUCCAAGAUAUCAGAUGCAGUCUUUGCAGUGCUUUGCAACAUAGGGUCAAUAUCAGGCAAUUUUGGAAUCUGAGCCAGAAGAUCUGUAGUUCGUCUUAUUAGUCGAGCUAGAUCCCCAUCAUCCAUUGCGCAAUCCAUCAUCAUUUCCCUCCAAGUUAGACCUGAAGCCCAGGCUUCAACCAUACCAGAAAAUUGGCUAUCCAAACAACAGGAUAUCUCCACAUCAUGUUUUUCCUGAAGUUGCAAAAGAGAGCUUCUUUGCUCAUCCAAGACACUAAGAACAUUAAUCACUGCACUAGAAGCUUCGUAUAUGUAGCUAUUAUUUUCCCACGGACGAACUUUGAUUCCUUCAGAAACUACACUUGCACAAAUAGCAGCAAGUUGUGCUGGUUUUAAAUCCACCAAGAUUCUGUUUCGAAGGACCAUUGCAAUCCAGAGUUCAUUUUCUCCUCGAAUUGCAGCUGCAGUCUCACCAAGAGGAAAUAUUACCUGCGUAUUGAUGUCCAAUGCCCUAAUUUCAUGUACAACAUUGCUGAUCUUCAAGAAUUCCUUCCAACCAGAUGGUUCAAUUUCGUCUAUUCGAUUGAUCAGACGGUUUGACCUAACCUUCAGGCGUUUAAUCUUAUCCCCAGUAAAAUUCUUCCAAUCUAAAAUCUUUUUAUAUUCUCUAAAACUUUCUGUACGGGCAAUCUUUUUCUUCAAACGUGCAACCUUGGUUCUUUGGCUCUUGUAAUGUUCUACAGCAUCAUGAUAGGUUUGUGACAUGUGUAAUACCUCAUCAUCCUCAGAAAGACUAUUUAAAACUGGCACAUUUAAACUCCACGACCAUGUCUCCAGAGAACCUUCCAUGUACCAUAAGCCACCAAGUUCUGAAUCAGCAAGUUUUUCCCAUUGCUUCUCUUCCUUAUUAAGUAGCAUCCACAUAACUUCAUGAGGUAAAGCAUCCCCUUCAGCCAAAGCAAUGUUAGGAAAGCCAGUCCUAUAAAUAGUUUUAACCCAUUUCUCUGUAAAAAGAUACCAAGAGUUAUCUGAACCAAGAGCCACAUAAUAAGAUGGUUCAAUAUCUGCAAGACUUUCCGCAUCACUAGAAUUUGUCCCAGCUUUUACAGCAUUUAUUUCAAAUGAAUCUGUAACAGAAACCACAUUUUUAAGUUUUGAACCAUCCAUAACAUCAACCUUCCCCAAAUAAACAGCAGGGACUAAAUGUUCAACUCCCUCAGAAUCUUUGUAUUGCAAGCACAAAAAGGGUAAAUGAUCAUUUCCUAACUCCUCCAAUAAAGAUUUAAGGGCACUCAAUCUCUUCAUGUCCAUAAUUCUUCUUAGUUCUGUUCGAAGGCGUUUUUCUUCUCUCAGUUGUUCCUGCAGAUCUGCUAUCUCUUUAUAUGCCGCCUCAGAUAGGAUUUGCCUGCUUUUUCUAUCUAUAGCAUCAUCACUGAUCUCUGAAGUUAGUUUCUCAGUCUCUUUCUGUAUUUUAGCAAGCUCUUCUUUUGAAGCAAGCAUUACAUUGCUGCCAAUAUAGGUCCCAAAACUUUGCUCCACUAAUAUCUUUGCUUCUUCCAAAGUUCUCCCAGCCCGAAGAACUUUCAUAUUAUCUGAUUCAUUUGAUAUAUGAGUGACUUUUCUACCAGCAAGAAGAUUCAGCACCAUACCAUAAGAAGCUGUAAACUGUGAUACAAGAGGUUCUAGUCCGGCAAAAAGAAGUUUGCAGCACUCUUCAGCA
rnacentral:misc_RNA from 1 species